CAAAAUAAUAAGGAGUCAUAUGAUGUUUACUGCCUUCAAAUGCCUUGUUACAUUGUUAACCAAGAUUAUGCAACAAAGCCAAGCACUUAUCACAAACAAAACCUCAAAAUAAAAGAUGAUAGCUUGUUUUGCCAGCUUGAUCUUAGAUAUCGUGCACGAUAACAAACUCAACAAGUCAGAUGGGUAUAGUAAGAUCUCACAAGAAUAUCAUUUGAAAUUUCUCAAGAUUCAACAGAUUAACAAACAACAAUUAUACAGAAAACUUAAUUCCUUCAUCAUCUGUUGAAGUUCCUUUAAA
rnacentral:lncRNA from 1 species